GAUUUAGACAGGCCAUUGAAGGAAUUUCAGUAUUCAAGAUGUGAAGUGAUUAAGACGUGAACAAGGAUUUCAGCAGAAGCAAGGUCAAGGUGAAGAUGAACUCAAGCAGAAUUUCAGAGCAGUUCAAGAAUACUUCCUGGUGUCAAAGAAGUCACCACAGCUCUCACUCCCAAUGUCUGAUACCAGGCAGAAAGAAGACUUCCAUGGAAAUAAUGUAGAGUUCCCAGCAUCUAACUGUACCUCACCUACAUGAAGUUCCACAAGUGAGUUGUUAUGCAUUUGCCAGGUAAAGUAUUCCACUC